rnacentral:rRNA from 1 species
UGCGUAGGCGGGCUAAUAAGUCAGUGGUGAAAUCUUUCGGCUCAACCGAGAAACUGCCAUUGAUACUGUUAGUCUUGAGUUCGGUUGAGGUAGGCGGAAUGUGUAAUGUAGCGGUGAAAUGCUUAGAUAUUACACAGAACACCAAUUGCGUAGGCAGCUUACUAGACCGACACUGACGCUGGGCACGAAAGCGUGGGGAGCGAACAGGAUUAGAUACCCUGGUAGUCC